UUUUUUUUUUUUUUUUUAGCUUUGCUACUUUUAUGCCAGGGAUAGCUGCUCAAAAUAAGUCUUUAUAAAAUAUAAUAGAUGCUAACCCUUCUUCAAACCCCUCACUUUUGAUCAACAGCCUUUUUAUAACUCCUAUUAGAUUCCAUUUGGUAACUUCUGAGUCUAUUUGAUUUAGCAAGAAAGCAUCAAUUUGCAUCAUCCUAGCUACACUAGAACAACAGCUUUUAUAAUGUAUGUAAAUGGAACUUAAAGAAGUUGUUGAUCAGAAAGCUAAAGAAUGCCACUCAAGAAGAAAGAAACCUAAAUACCUAAACAUGACAUUGUGCGUUUGAACCUUAAGUGCCAUUUCAGAUCUCCUAAUACUCCAAAGGUGAUGUUGUGAAAACAAAUAUCUUAGCAGAGGAUUACCUACUCCUGAGUAAACUGCCUACCUUUCCAGUGAUCUGGAUGAGCAUUUAUAGAAGCCUUCAGUGUGUGGCAUCUUUGCAGUGUUUCAGACCAAUACAUCUUUCCGGAAAACCAAACUGGAUCAGAUCCAGUCCUCAAAGUGACAGCCUUGAAAGAAUACAGAAUUUAAGUACCCUUAGAGAAUUCGGAGGGUCUGCAGCCCACCUCCUCCAUUUUAUAGACUUAACCUAGAGUUAUGCUGCUCUAAGUGUGGCCCACAGACAACAGCUUCCAGGAACUGUUAAAAAUGCUGAGUCGCAGGCCCCACUCCAUCCCUACUGAACAGGAAUCUGCACUUUCAUAACAUCCUGGAUGAUCUAUAAUAAAUCAAGCAUAAUAAAGUUUAAGAAACACUGGCCUAACAGACUAUAUGUUUAUAUAGGAUGAUUGAUCAAUUUGAUUUUGGUAGCAAACAACUUUGAUUACUCUUUUAUUACAAAAUUACAGGUCAUGUCUGGAAUAAUUUAGAAAACACAGUAAAGAAAAAAAUGAUAUUAAAAUUCAUAGACUUGUAUUUCUACUGCUCAGAUAUAUUCACUGUUAUUACUUGGGUAUAUAUCCCUGUUUCUGUAAACUACUUUUAUGAAAUAAAUGAUUCCCCCCCCACAAAAAAAAAAAAAAAAAAAAAAAAAAAAAAGAAACUGGUUGGACUAGUUCUAGGUCCAACAGUUCACGUCAGAGACUAGCCAUGACUCAGUCUUUAUGUCUCAGUUCACAUUUCUCGGUAUGGUCCACCCACCCCAGUGGUAUCUUCUUGGCCUUUAUUUUCUACUAGAGUGGGUAUGUGCAAGCUCCAUGAUUAUAGGGAGACUCUACUAUGUGAGGCCACAUCCUUCAGAGAAACUAAAGCCAUGUGCCACAGCACACCUUGGUGAGGUACAUCAUUAACCAGCUUGAAAAGGAUGCAUAGGACACCUCUGAUGCUUAUCCACACAGCUCCUGAACAUAAGAUUUUAAAUAGUCAAGAAGUCUGGGACAUAUAACUCUUUUAAUAAAUUGAGCUCUGCUUAUAAGGACUUAAUUAAUGGAAAUGAAAGAAUUAAUGACUGGAUACGCGCAAAGAACAGGCAAUGCCUUGAGGGAGAAGUCCAGUAGAGGGGCAAUGCAGAUUAAAGAAGUCUAGGGUUUCCACCAGGAGAGGUGGUAGGUUAAAAAUAGGCUCUGGUACACACAAAAGUGGAGUGAAUAUAGGUAAAAAUUCAUUAAAAAGAAAUAGACAUUCAAAAACAAGUUCAACGAAUGAAUUAACACUAAAAUCAAAUUUCAGAGUAGGAUUGAACUGGACUAAGAGCUGUUCCUGUUCUCUGAGAUGUUCAGAAUACAUCACAUACAUACCAAAACAGACAAAAAUCAUAGACUUAGUGGCAGUGCCAGGGUUCAGGAAGGUAGAGCCUCUUUUGGAGACAGUAACAACAGAUUCUACUCUACUUUGGUUUAGGGUCACACUUUGGUGCCCUAGGUUGCAGCCUUGACUUGGCACCAAGGACGGUUUUCAAAAGGCUUCCAGCACUGUUCAAGAUGUGACGGACUUUUCUCUGCCUCUUUCAUCCUUAUUAAUUUGCUUCUGCAUCACAAAAGAGGCAAAUCUUUUUAUGUUUCUAUAAAGUUCCAUCAGGGAAAGGGCAUGGUUCAAACCUUCUCUUCAAUUUUAAUAUCUUCAUAUCUACCACAUACUGUAUACAGACAUGAAGGACAUUAUUCAAAACAAUUUUACCUUUCUCAAAUAAAAUAGCCUAUACCCUGAAAGUAUUAUGGAAGUGAACGUUUUUAAGCAUUUAAAUAAGCAAUCGACUCUGACAUGACCAUUCUCCUCACGAAUUUAAUGUUCUACUAUUUUUAAAUACAAUUGUUUCAUUCUACAUUCAGCUGAGUAAGUAUUAGACAAUUUUUUUUUCUCAUCUCAAUAAUGCAUGGAAUGUUAUAUAGUUCCACCCAUUCGAAGCAGUCUUAAAUCCAGUAAGGAAGGAAACUGCAUAUCCUCAUCACAUAAUAUGCAUACUGUUUGUGACCAUUUAUCUUGUGGCCAAGAAUUUGAAAUUUUUUCUAGUUGUGUUUUACAGAGGCAUCAUUUUUCUUAUUCUUCUUAAAGUAGGCCAGAUUCUAAUUUUUUGAAAUUAAAAAUGAAAUUUCUCAUCUUUCCUUUUCAGUAGCCCUUAAACAAUAACUGCUGAACCUUUUUUUCACUCAAUUCCCCCAGGAGCUUAACAAUAUAUUGAACAUUUCUUAUAGAAAUGUUCUCUCUCCUUUAUGUUUUAAACAACACAAAAUUCACAAACCUUGUAAGGCAACUUAAGUUUUUACCCAAUUGUUUAUUUCAAAUGUAGCUUUUCUUUCAUAAUAGCUAAACACUUGAAAGUUGUUCACAAUUACUUCCUUUAUAAUUUCAAACCCCAAAUGAUUGCUUUAAUCUCCCAAAUGUAUUUCAAAAUUGGUUAUGUGUUGAUGUGUUGAAUGAGUCAGAGUACUGUAGCACAAUUGACUAGACCUUUGCAUAAACACAUGAUUUUUGUAAUUAGAAAUUUAAUUCCACUUUCCCCUUGUCGUUAUCCACCAAUUGCAAUACAUUUUUAUCAUUCCAUAAACUUUGUCCCAGGGGAUGUGGCCACCAUCUCAAAGUCUAUCUCAAUUUUUUUUAUUGCUAAAAUGCCAUUGUUUUUCUUUUUCUUUCAUGUUAAAUUCUAAUUAUUGCUGUUUACUUUUUGAAAAAUAUGUACCCAAGGACACUUGUCCUAAGCCUGGCAAGUCUGUGUUCCAGCUACAUAAUUUAGUUUUUUGGAAAUCUAUUAGUGAUGGCCCUUGUACUCUCUUUUUCAGUGCUCUAGCUCGCCUUAGACCAUUGCUCUUUAAAAAUUCAGCUCCUCCAAUUAGGCCUCCCCCUUGGUGGAAGGAAGUUGUAUUAUACACUUCAGACAAUCUGUGACUUUUCUGUCAAAGCACUAAGUACCUGACUUACGCCUUCUUCCAUCCUUGUUGAUCAUUUUUUCACAUCACAAAAGAAACAGCAUCUUUUUAUGUGCCUGGUUUGAAUAAAUUUCCAUCAGCAAAAGGACAUAGUUUAAACGUUCUCUUAAGUUUACUUUCAUGAUCUUCAUAGUUUGUGUUUUGGGGAAAACUGCUCAGGGAUUCCCAAACAAUCUUCUUGUGGAACUCAAAGGGAUGUCAGUGUGAGCCUUGCUCAAAAUAUACUGUGAGAAAGUAUUAUUGCAGCAAUUAGUUUCCUUUUGUUG
rnacentral:lncRNA from 1 species